UUAGGAAUAUUGCGCAAUGGGCGAAAGCCUGACGCAGCGAUGCCGCGUGGGUGAAGAAGGCCUUCGGGUCGUAAAGCCCUUUUCUGGGGGAAGAGGAAGGACGGUACCCCAGGAAUAAGUCUCGGCUAACUACGUGCCAGCAGCCGCGGUAAAACGUAGGAGGCUAGCGUUAUCCGGAUUUACUGGGCGUAAAGCGCGCGCAGGUGGCUUCGUAAGUCGGACGUGAAAUCUCUCGGCUCAACUGAGAGGGGACGUUCGGAACUGCGAGGCUUGAGGGCGAGAGAGGGAAGCGGAAUUCCCGGUGUAGCGGUGAAUGCGCAGAUAUCGGGAGGAACACCAGUGGCGAAGGCGGCUUCCUGGCUCGUUCCUGACACUCAAGUGCGAAAGCGUGGGUAGCGAACGG
rnacentral:rRNA from 1 species